AUGCCCAGUGCAGUUUUUGGAUUUCCACUGAGUGAUAGCUUUGUUUUGGUCUUCCAUAUAUCUGUGUUCUUAUUAUCAAGUCUCCACACAUGUCUUGUGCCCCCACAGGAAAUAGCAUUCUUUGACGUGACUAGAACAGGAAAGCUCUUAAGCAGGCUUUCUGAAGAUACCCAAAUUAUAAAGAAUGCCGCUACAACAAACCUUUCAGAAGCACUGCGUAAUCUGACUACCACAUCUAUUGGUCUUGGCUUUAUGUUUUCAACUUCAUGGAAGCUAACAUGUAAGUACCAGUUCCACAUGCUUGUGCUCUACAGAUUAAGAACUUUGUUGCAUCUCAUUUUGCUGACUGUGUGGCAUCUACCCGUGCAUCAAUAA
rnacentral:rRNA from 1 species